rnacentral:rRNA from 1 species
AAGCUCUCUUGUCAGGAAAGAAAUCCUAUUCGCUAAUACCGAGUGGGGAUGACGGUACCUGAAGAAUAAGCACCGGCUAACUACGUGCCAGCAGCCGCGGUAAUACGUAAGGUGCGAGCGUUAAUCGGAAUUACUGGGCGUAAAGCGUGCGCAGGCGGUUGUGCAAGACAGAUGUGAAAUCCCCGGGCUUAACCUGGGAAUUGCAUUUGUGACUGCACGGCUAGAGUGUGUCAGAGGGGGGUAGAAUUCCACGUGUAGCAGUGAAAUGCGUAGAGAUGUGGAGGAAUACCGAUGGCGAAGGCAGCCCCCUGGGAUAACACUGACGCUCAUGCACGAAAGCGUGGGGAGCAAACAGGAUUAGAUACCCUGGUAGUCCACGCCCUAAACGAUGUCUACUAGUUGUCGGGUCUUAAUUGACUUGGUAACGCAGCUAACGCGUGAAGUAGACCGCCUGGGGAGUACGGUCGCAAGAUUAAAACUCAAAGGAAUUGACGGGGACCCGCACAAGCGGUGGAUGAUGUGGAUUAAUUCGAUGCAACGCGAAAAACCUUACCUACCCUUGACAUGUACGGAACCCUGCUGAAAGGUGGGGGUGCUCGAAAGAGAGCCGUAACACAGGU